rnacentral:rRNA from 1 species
UACGAAGGGGGCUAGCGUUGCUCGGAAUUACUGGGCGUAAAGCGCACGUAGGCGGAUUGUUAAGUCGGGGGUGAAAUCCUGGAGCUCAACUCCAGAACUGCCUUCGAUACUGGCGAUCUUGAGUCCGGAAGAGGUGAGUGGAACUCCUAGUGUAGAGGUGGAAUUCGUAGAUAUUAGGAAGAACACCAGUGGCGAAGGCGGCUCACUGGUCCGGGUACUGACGCUGAGGUGCGAAAGCGUGGGGAGCAAACAGG